AGGCGUGUAAGUUAAUUUAAACUACGGGGUUCAUGUCCCCGCAAUAUGUUUUAAACCAUCUCGCCUA
rnacentral:tRNA from 3 species